AAUACUUGUAUGGAUAAAAAGACUCUGUAAUCACCUGGAAGGUGCGGUGUGUAUUUGGGAGCUAUCCCGCACGCUGCCCGGCGUCGAAUAAACAUACACUUUCUAACUUUAAACUGUUAGAGAGUCUUUGUCCGUCACAGUUGGAUAUCGAUACUAGAUCAAUAUCCACAUUUUUUUAAUAAAUCAAUUCUAUGAUGGAGAGUGGGUCCCUUCGGUCUUGGCCCUUGCCCUUCUUUAGGGUGUCUGUCCAUUGAAAUAUAACACCGUGGAGGUGUGGCAGUCUGCCCAAUAUGAUGAAUUUAAAGGGCAGGUCCGGAUCGUACUGGUGGGCCUGUCUGGCAGACAUUGUCUCCUGGACCUUAUUCAAAGCUGCCUGGGCCUCUGGGGUGAGUUCCCUGGGAGAACUCGGCUCCUCCCCCCCUUUCAAUAAAUCGAAAAGAGGGGCUAGGUCUCUGUUUGUAAUGCCUAGCCAUGGCCUCACCCAGUUUAAAGAACCGCACAGCUGCUGGAUGUCUGCUAGGGUCUGAAUGUUGUUUCUGAUGGCAAAUUUUUGGGGAACAAUGGUCCUCUUGUUAACUUCCAAACCCAGGUACUUCCAGGGUGGCAUCUUUUGAAUUUUGUCCUCUCGCAGCUCAAACCCUGCAGCAAUCAACGCAGCGGUUGUCAGAUUAAGCACGUGUGUAAGGAGAUCGCCGUUGUGAGCACAAAUUAAGAUAUCAUCCAUAUAGUGCUGGAUGAUCACGCCCUCGGUGGCUGCACGGACGGGGGUCAGCAAUGAAGCUACAUACCGCUGGCAGAUGGUGGGCGAGCAUUUGAGACCCUGAGGCAACACUCGCCAAUGGUAGCGUUCCAUUGGGGCUUCUCGGUUGGUGGAAGGAACCGAGAAGGCAAAACGUGGCGCGUCUUCAGGGUGUAGGGGAAUAUGAAAGAAGCAAUUUUUUAUGUCAAUGACAGCCAAUUCCCAAUCUUUUGGCAACAUCGUGGGGGACGGCAUCCCUGGUUGGAGGGGACCCAUAUUUUCAGUCACACUGUUGAUAGCACAGAGAUCGUGAAGGAGCUGCCAUUCGUCUUUGCCAGGUUUUUUCAGGACAAAGACGGGGGAAUUCCAAGGAGAUGUUGUUUCUUGGAUAUGUCCCUUGGCAAGUUGCUCUGCCACGAGCUUUUGGAGCGCUUUUAAUUUUUGUUUAUUGAGCGGCCACUGCUCUACCCAGAUCGGAACAUCAGAAAGCCAAUUCAACUUUUGGGUAGGACGCUCCUCAGUGACUUCUGCCCGAAAAACCUGAGGGGUUGGAAUGUUCAAUGUGACCCCCCACUGGGCCAUCAGGUCCCUUCCCCACAGGGGCUCUCUGUAAUCUAAAACAAAUGGACGUAGGUAAGCUGAUUGUCUAUUUGGCCCCUCAAAUUUUAUGAUUUUUUUGAUUGUUUUGCCAAUUGUGCCCCUCCUACAUCUUGAAUUUGUCCAGCCACAUCCUGCAACUCCCAACGCGAUGGCCAAUCCCGUGAGGGAAUGACCGUGACAUCUGCCCCUGUGUGCAAGAGGCCAUUAAGCCACUUGUGCUCACCGCCAUUCCACAUGUAACAUGCGAUUUUGGGUCUUUCCUUCCCAAGUACCUGGGCCUGACACACUUCGUAGAUUUUCUCAGCAGUCUUCAUCCAUAGAUCUUCGGGGUAGACGGGGGCCCAGAUACAGGUAUGGCUUGGGCGAUGAUUUACCCUUUGGGAAGGUAGACUGGCGGGUGAGCACAGUGCAGCCACAGCACCAGGUGUUUGGGGUUUGCAGAUGUUAAGUUGGGUGCAAUAGUGAUUUCAAGUGGCGUGUAUUUUGUGUCCCCAAGGACGAUGUAAUUACUGUGGAGUCUCCACCAGGUCCCUGGGUCCUGUGUGUCAAUCGUGACAAAAUACCAAUUGCUAUCCUUGAGUAGCAGAGGUUCGGUCAGGGCCAACCUGUGUGGAGAGAAGUUGGACAUGGAUGUUAAGGAUGGACCUGGGAUGGUCGUGGUCCCGACCAAGCCAUGCCUGCGAAAUGAAACUCCCAACUCCCCCCACGCAGGCUGGUUCGCCAGCUUUAGUUCCCCUAGUGUCCAAUCCGGUAACGUCUUGUCUGGUAUUAGAGUCCUUGUCCUCAGGUGGGUGUGCUGAUACGUUGUCCCUCCUCUCCCCUGAUGUUAUGUUUCCCACCAAAUUUGUGUCCUCAUGCAGGGAGGGACUGUGCUGAGAAACUAGUUUUUUGAUGGUUCCCCUGGGUUGGGGGCACCUCGCCCUUGCUGUUGGUUUUGGUUUCUAAAAUGUAAGAAGUCCUCUUUCAGGGGGCAAUGGGAUGCCCAGUGUCCUCUCUUAUUGCAGAUGUUACAGGGUUUUCCCGGGUGGUAACCUUUGGGGGAUGGCCCUGAGAAGCGGCGCGCAGGAGCUGGGGUCAUGGAUGGCGUGUGGGCUUCGGCGAAGGAGACCCUCCUUGAUGGCGUUCAGGGAGUCCCUUGGAGGUCGUUCGAUGGUAAGGUGACCUUCCGAGCACACACAUCCAGCAUGUCUUGGAGUGUCGGCUCUGGGUCGAGGGGAGGGCUCAGGAUCGCCUGCUGGCAGGCUUCGUAGGUGUUCUGGAGUGCAAUUUGCUUCACCAUGCCUUGUCUCAAUCCCUCCUCUGGAAUCUGGGCUUCUGCUGCCCUGCACAACCUAUCUACGAAACUAAUGAAAGAUUCCUGUGGCUCCUGCUUAAGAGAGAAACAGUUAACAACAGGACCACUGGGUCUUAACUUAAAGAAUGCUUUUUCUGCCGCCUUGGCACUUGCUGACAGUGCCUCCCUUGGGAUCUUUUCGGCCUGCCUUGCUGCCAUGUCCCAAUCCCCCACCCCACACAGAUGAUCAAUUGUCAACACGCCCCCAUCGGUAUCCAUGGAGGUCUCUGUAUUGGCCCAGAGGCUGGGUAAUAAAUCUCGUGCUUCCCACCUCCAUGUGGAUUCCCAGACCAAAAACUCAGCUUGAGUAAUCAAACACGAAAAGAGAGUGCGCAUGUCAGCAGGGACAUAUUCGUUUGAGCAGAGCGUGGCAUUUAAUAGCCCCCUAAAUUAUUCACUUUCCCGGCCAAAAUCCUUUUGGGCUUUGCAGAGAUCCUUAAUUACCGACUGUGGGAUUGGAGUCCACUGUUUGAGGGGUCUGCCCUUCUGCCGCGGUGUAUAGGUGACCGGCGCAGCAGAAAAGGCAGGCAGGGAUUGCGGCACGUCGCAGUUUCCCCCCUCCCCCCCCCCGGAAACCAAAGCGUGGGAACCAGAGGGCGGGUUGUGGGAACUGAGGGAGGAGGCAGGACUAGGGCUAGGGGGUGUGGCAGAUGUUACAUUACCCCUAGGGGUGGGGUUGAAGGAAGGACUGUUGAAUGAUUCAUUAGGGGAGGUGCGUGAAGGGGGUGGAGAGUAGGAGUGGGUGGAGAAGUCUCUGGGGUGGAAAGGGUUGGCUGUUGGGAGAAAGGGAGUGUUGGGAGAAGAAGCACAAGUGGUGGGGGGUGCCAUGUGGUCCCCUCCAUCUUGUGCCCUGAGGUAGGAAAGGGAAUAAUUUUGGGAAAGGUUCGGGGAAGGUUGCAGAGAGGGAUCAGGGGUCUUAAAACUUACAGAUUUUCCACUAUGGGGCAGGGCUGUACAAAGAGAGGGAAUUGGGGUAUGGGGAUAGUGCAGAGCGAUGCCAGCACUGCCCUGCGAAGGAACCCGGGGGUUUACAAAGGGGCCAGAAUCUGCCUGCGGCUGCUUCCGGGAUGCCCGUCUGAGAAUCCCCGGGCUAGGGAGAGAGGGAGAGGAAAGAGGGCUAGGGGUUUUUAAACUGGGGCUGCAUUUGCCUUCGAGUGGCUCUGGCAUCCCUUUGCUGUUAUUUUUGAUAAUAUUCCUAAUUUGGAGUGCCAGAUGAAUGAAAAUUGAGAGGGAUGGGUCCCCUUUUUGGACGAUUUCCCUUCCAACUUGGUCCCAAAACUGGACUUGGUAUAAAUUUGCUGUCAACAGAUCCUGGAAGGACUGCAGAAGCCACCGGGUGAAAUGUUUAACGUCGGACUUUUUAAACUUUUUUUCUCCCCCAACCAGGAUGCCAACAACUUGGACAUAAAUUCUCUUUGCGACACUGACAGUUUAGCACCCAUAUUGUCGAUCUUAAAUGUGCCGCUAAGCCUCACAACUGGAGAAAAUAACAACAGAAAAAAAAGAAGACCCCUAUCAGACGCUGGGUAGACCUGUGCUUACCGG
ensembl:lncRNA